rnacentral:lncRNA from 1 species
AGGACCGUGUCCACUCAUGCUGGACUUCUCUUCAUUCCUGGAGGAAGCCACUCUCUAGUCUGCCUUAAGGACAGAGCCAAAGACAGAUGACAGCUCUCAACCUGAUGUGCUGGCUACAGUGGAAAGCCGUUCUGUGUAGUCACUGCUGUCCUUUUUAAUCCAGAUAUGUAUGUAAUUGUUGAACUUCAGAAUGGGAAAUGUCUCUUCCAGUCUAUCAGUGCCAGGCAAAGUAGGGUGAUUAUGAGUCUUAGAGUAGGCCAAAUAUGCUUAAACUUUGUUCUAGUUUCAGCUGCAAUGGAUUCUGUAUUAAAACAGUAGGGAGGAGGCUAUGGAAAUCUUGCAAUUUAACUUACUACUUCUCCUUGGAACUGACCUCCCUCUAGACUCCUGGCCCUCAUUAUAGUUUUGAAACUAAAUCUAGUCAGAUUUUCCUUUACUACAAAGGCCCUUCCUCUUAAUUUGGCCAUAAUUCCCAAAUAUACCACUGUAGGCAGCUUUGCUUCCCUAACAGGAAUGUGAAAUUGACUCUGCUUGCUUUAGCCAUCAUUGAAAAUGUCUGUGAGGGUCUUGGUUUCCCACAUGAUACAAGGCUUACCUCCUUCCUCCAUCUUUCCAAAUGAGACUGGAAGAUUCAAAUAAAAUUUGGAAACUUCAGACUAGUUUCAGGAUCAGAUACAUGAUUAACCAAUCUGCUUUAAGACAUAAAUUAAAUGACGAUAUUUAACCUCAGAAGAAAAUUAAAUUGUUACCAGAGGGAAAAAUAACUCUUAGGUAUAUGGUGUGUUUAUAUGAGAACAACCACGUUCUCUUUUCUCAAAACCAUGAAUUGGUGAUCCUAUGUUUUGAGGAUUAACGAAGUCACCAUAUUAAACCAAUAUCAUGAUAUCAGCCUGAGUACCACAAAACAAACAAACAAACAAAAACAACAAAAUUGUUCUCCCCAUCUUGCUUCCAGACUUAUUCCUCUUUCCAAGAACUCAAAUGCCUAAGAAUCUAGCCUUCUUUACAAAAGAUCAUUAAAUUAUAACCACAGAAACUUAAUAAGCAGAGUCAUAAUUUUGACAGUUUUUCUAUAAAAUACAAAAGAUAUAAAAAAAAUAGACAAAAUCAGGUCUUCAACCGUAGCUUUGAAAUGUGAAAAUGUGGGGCAGCAGUUAAUCCUGGAGGGCUGAGGCCAGUAGGAUGUCAUCAUUUCAAUUCUGCUUUAUGUAUAGUUUGCUGCCAUUUAGCUGAUUCCAUAUCACAAUAGAGAGGAAAAACACUUGCACUGAAGGAAAUUAGAAUAUUUCAGUUUUAAAAUACAAUUAAUAUGACACAAGUAUUUCACCCUUCAUUUUACAGAAAAACAAAACUCGACAAUGAAUGCAUAAACCAACCAAAAUGAGUUCAUUUGAGAUUUGGAAGAGUCAGUGGUACGUUAGCCAGUGAAACUCUUCCAGGAUAGAGAAUGAUAUAGUCUAUGGCAAAGGACUUAAAGAAUUUGAAAAAGUAUUGCAAUAAAUUAUAAUUUGCACCCCUCAAAAUUUUUUUCCAAUCUCUAUUGACUUUGUCUAGUAAAAAUGAACAAAAAUAUUUGUGUUGAUCAACAUGCAGUAAAGAAGCAAACUUUGCAGUAGAAUGCAAGAAAAAAAUGUUAAAGCAGAAUAGAAAGAUUAGGGUGCUGGCAUGAUUCUGUGAUCAAGAAAUCCUAGACAGAAAUAGUACUUUUUACAUUUGAGUAUGAAUAAUUAGAAAAACCUAAAAUGUAAAAAAUCGUGUACAUUUGGAUGAAACAAACAUUUACAGCAUUUGGGAUAGAAAUAAAGAAUUUUCCUAUGAAUUAAUAUAUAGAUGCAAGUUAUGGUGUUAAAAUAUUUGCAUCUUUUGAAAUUUUAUUAUGAGAGUAAAGUGUUCUUUAUGGGACUGCUCAGUAAUUGGAUUUUUUGGUUAUCCAUUUGAUACUUAAUAUUUGCUUGUGAGCUAACUGGUUUGACUACCAUGCAAUAAUAAUAAAUACUUUUCAUUUCAUGCAUAAUAAUUAUUAUUGAAUAAAUGAGAAAUGAAUAAGAUAAUGGAAUAAGUGAGACAACACUGGUAGAAAACAAGGCCGAGAAUAAGUUGGAAUUCAUAAGGUCAGAAGGAAGCCGUGUGAGAAUGUAGCAGUAGGCUCAUCUUGAAUUAUAUUCAUUGAGGAAACAGGGGACUACUAUAUCAUUCUCAUUGUCUGCACACAGUGUUAGAACAAAGUGGAAUAAAGUUAAUGUCUUCAAGGGAGAGAAAUCCGUCAUUUUCUUGACUGCAAAACUGCAUCCAUAACUCUAACAGGACAUCUUACAACUUGAAACAUAUGGCCAACAAGCGCUGGCAUAUUGCUGAAAGUAAUCUGACUGAGCAGGCAACUUUCACCUUUCUGAUGAAAGUAACCAUAACUCCUGGAGUUGAUGUAAUUUUGUGAUUUAAGGACCAAUCUUAAUCACACUUGGACACCCUGCUGCUUUUCCAAGAGUACUAUGCAAAUUGGGUAAUGCUAUUUGUUCAGGUGUUUCUUUUUUUUUUUUUCAAAUUGGACCCAAAUUGAAUACAUCUUAAUGUUAUUUUUCUUUUUGCCUGCAAGUAAUACACUCAUAUAGGCAUAUAUAGAAAAAAAAAUUGUGAGUUUAUCACGGUGAAAUCCCAGUUUGCUUUGAGAGGAAGUUAAGAGGGAGUUGAUCAAGUAUUUAGUCUAUGAGUAACACAUCCUUUCACAAUGUGAAGAUAUUAAGGUUUUUAAUUCAUGUCUGGGAAGAGUGAUAGUCAUUUGUGAGUAGAAAAGUAAAUUAAUGUACCUAUAUUUUUAUGUAUUUUUCCUAUAGUAGAAAAAACUGG